rnacentral:rRNA from 1 species
AUUGAACGCUGGCGGCAUGCCUUACACAUGCAAGUCGAGCGGCAGCGCGGGGGCAACCCUGGCGGCGAGCGGCGAACGGGUGAGUAAUGCAUCGGAACGUGUCCUCUUGUGGGGGAUAACCAGUCGAAAGACUGGCUAAUACCGCAUGAGCUCGAGAGAGGAAAGCAGGGGACCGCAAGGCCUUGCGCGAGAGGAGCGGCCGACGCCGGAUUAGCUAGUUGGUGGGGUAACGGCCCACCAAGGCGACGAUCCGUAGCUGGUCUGAGAGGACGACCAGCCACACGGGGACUGAGACACGGCCCAGACUCCUACGGGAGGCAGCAGUGGGGAAUUUUGGACAAUGGGGGCAACCCUGAUCCAGCCAUGCCGCGUGUGUGAAGAAGGCCUUCGGGUUGUAAAGCACUUUCGGCCGGAACGAAAUCGCGCGAGCUAACACCCCGCGUGGAUGACGGUACCGGAAGAAGAAGCACCGGCUAACUACGUGCCAGCAGCCGCAGUAA